GGGCCGUGUCACAGCUGCAGGUCUUUGUAGCGCCUUCAGUCGAGCCCGUUCUUACCGAGCACCCUUGAUUCCCAAACUGUGUUUUUACCCAACAAACCGGAACUGCUGAGCCGCCAUUCUUUGGUUUUCGCAAUGGGCACUCAUCAAGAAUGCGGGGCGCCCCUCGGAAGCCGCGUGACCCUGUACUAAGGCCCAGUGGGAGCCCGGGCGCCCCUCUCUCUACCCCUCUGUGAGUAGCCGGCGCUGUUUCCCCACCCCGACUCGGUUCCUGUGACAGGUCACCGCCACGCCACCGUGGUGGCCAGAGACCCCGGAACUCACUCCAGCCUCCGCCCCAGUUCACAUGACCCCCGACCCCGCCAGCACAGGUAUUUACAGUGAAGCAAGGAUCUUCGGACCUGGCGUUGGAAAUCCGAGAACUGUUCGUUGAGCGUCUGAAAAGGGAGGAUCAUCAGUGUCUACCCAGCAAGCCCGCCGCUGCCGGAGGGACCCAAGCGUGUACCGAGCCUCCGCCUGAGAACCGCACCCAGCACCCCGAGCAAGCGCAGAGCUGGCGUGGCCCUGCCCGGGGAAGCCCAGCCCCCCGGCCCCCAGCUCCGGCCCGUACUUGAGCCCGGGGGCCCCGCCGAGCAGGACUGAGUCCCUCUCCUGGGGGCGGGGGCCGCCCCUCAGGUCCUCGGCAAGCUCUGUUCAGGCCUUCCCUGCUCCAGCAAGGAGCACCCGCGUGCAGACCCCGGCAGACACCGCCGGGUCUUCCGGAUCAUUCUCUGGACGGGUCCCAGCUUGUCUCCACCCUGUCGUUGAGAAGGGAGGUGCCCAGACUGAAAAGGAUGGCCACCUCCAUGCCCAUUGGUCCUACAGAACGGAACCCACAUGCCGGGCUAAUGACAAGGAGCAAGAGAGACGGAGCCCAGACGUCGUGAAGCUCGUGUUCUAGUUGAGGGGAUGCAGAGAAAUAAAUGUGGGUAGUAUCA